GGGGUUGUGGCUCAGUGGUAGAGCACUCGCCUAGCAUGUGUGAGGCACUGGGUUCAAUUCUCAGCACCGCA
rnacentral:tRNA from 1 species